GGUUUCGUAGCUCAGCUGGUGGUGCGCUUGCCCCGUAGAGGCAUGGAGUUUCUUUUGCUGGUUCGAAUCCAGCCGAAGCCC